rnacentral:rRNA from 1 species
GAUGAACGCUGGCGGCGUGCCUAAUACAUGCAAGUCGAGCGAAUGGAUUAAGAGCUUGCUCUUAUGAAGCUAGCGGCGGACGGGUGAGUAACUCGUGGGUAACCUGCCCAUAAGACUGGGAUAACUCCGGGAAACCGGGGCUAAUACCGGAUAACAUUUUGAACCACAUGGUUCGAAAUUGAAAGGCGGCUUCGGCUGUCACUUAUGGAUGGACCCGCGUCGCAUUAGCUAGUUGGUGAGGUAACGGCUCACCAAGGCAACGAUGCGUAGCCGACCUGAGAGGGUGAUCGGCCACACUGGGACUGAAACACGGCCCAGACUCCUACGGGAGGCAGCAGUAGGGAAUCUUCCGCAAUGGACGAAAGUCUGACGGAGCAACGCCGCGUGAGUGAUGAAGGCUUUCGGGUCGUAAAACUCUGUUGUUAGGGAAGAACAAGUGCUAGUUGAAUAAGCUGGCACCUUGACGGUACCUAACCAGAAAGCCACGGCUAACUACGUGCCAGCCGCCGCGGUAA